rnacentral:sRNA from 1 species
GUCAUAGACCCCACGGCUGAAGCCGGGGGCUUGUCUCCUGGCUUUCAGUCGUAGGCCUUUUGAGGCCUCGCUAUGACCAGCCUCAGAGGCCUGACCCGAAGGACAAGGGGAUGAAGGUCCUACGUUACCGGGGAGAGCCAGAGUUCGCACUCCGGGAUGCUCCUCCAGUCCCGAGACCCUGUAACCCGGCGGUCACGAAGCGAAGCUGGGGGUGGCGCGCUGUAGCCCGGCCGCCGGGAGACGGCCGCCCGGUAACAUUGGCGAGGAGGGAGGCUGAGGAGAGUCCGCCUCAGCCCGUCACGAGCCCCGUAAGGGG